rnacentral:misc_RNA from 1 species
AGAGGUGGCUACGGCCUAAACCCAUUUAACCUACUUUCGUUGCCUCGCUAGCAGCUUCGCCUACCGCCCCUGGUGGCGGGUGAAACUGCAGUACCGGCCGGGGCACUAAACUCUUAUUAUUAUGUCAUCUCUGAGUAUACUUUUAAAUAAGUUA